ensembl:snoRNA ACEA small nucleolar RNA U3
AAGACUAUACUUUCAGGGAUCAUUUCUAUAGUUUCUGACUUGGGAAAUGUGUUUCAAAAGUGUACUGUCUCGCUAACCACGAUGAUGAGUCACGAUGUUUCCUUCUGAGCAUGAAGCUGGUGGAGAACAAUGAUUCAUUUCAUUCUCUCUAUCAUUGAUGAUUGCUCUUUGCUGAGCACUGAGGAAGGGAACAUGAUCAGAGUGGUU